GCUUGUGGUUGCCCUGUUUUUUAAAUAUGCUAACCCCUUCCCAUAAUUGUGUGUUUUAGCCUGAUGGUCCUGUAAGUUCAAACACUUCAUUACUAUAUUAAAGUUAAGAAGAGAAACAUACAAACAAAGAGGGUUAUUUACUUCCUAACAUCCCUUGCCCACAUUUUAUGGUUUUGAUGACUCUUUUUUUUUUCUUUUUAAUUUUAUUUUGUUUGAAGCAUGUUCAUGAUUAAAUCUGUAUGCUGGCUUAUUUGAGUGACUGCUCUCUGAUUGUGGUUUCCUCAGUCCUAGUUCUUCCUCUUCUUCUUCUUUUUUUUUUUUCUUUUCUUUUUUCUUCCCUUUCCUUCCUUUCUUUUUGGUUUAGAGAAGCCCUUUCAAUAUUUCCUUUAACCUGGGUUUUGUGUUGCUGUAUUCUUUAAGUUUUUGUUUGUUGGGAAAAAUUUUUAUUUCCCCUUCUAUUUUAAAUGAUAUUCUUGCUGGAUAGAGUAUUCUAGGUUGCAUAUUUUUUCCUUUUAGCACUUUAAAUAUCUCUUGCCAUUCCCUCCUGGCCUGUAGUGUUUCUGUAGAGAAAUCAGCUGAUAUUCUUAUGGGAGUUCCCUUGUAGGUAACAUUCUGUUUUUCUCUUGCUGCCUUUAGGAUCCUCUUUAUCACUAACUUUUGCCAUUUUUAUUAUGAUGUGUCUUGGUGUGGGUCUGUUUGGGUUCAGUUUGUUUGGGGCCCUCUGUGCUUCUUGUAUCUUGAAUCCAGUAUCCUUUAGAUUUGGGAAGUUUCCAGCGAUAAUUUCUUCAAAUAUAUUUUCCAUCCCCUUAUCUUUUCCUACUCCUUCUGGAAUUCCUAUUAUGCAUAGAUUGGCCCGCUUUAUAUUAUCCCAUAGGUCUCUUAUAUUGCUUUCCAGUUUUUUGAUUCGGUUUUCUGUCUGUUGACUGGAUUGAGUGAUUUCCAUUAUUCUAUCUUCCAUAUCACUGAUUCGUUCUUCUGCAUUAUUCAUUCUGGUUUUUACUGCUCCUAGUUCAGUUUGCAUCUCUGCAAAUGAAUGUUCUAGUUUUUCUUGGCUCCUCCUUAUAUUUUCUAGUUCCUUUCUGAGGGUAUCUGCAUUACUGUUCAUAUCUUCUCUUAAUUCCUUCAGUAUUUUCACUAUUUCUCUUUUGAAUUCCAGGUCUGUUUGACUGCAGAGAUCAGUUUCAUUGUUGACUGUUUUAGGUGAGUUCUCCUGUUGGUUUGACUGGGGGUGGUUUCUCAGCUUCUUCAUCUUGCUUGUUGUUUUCUUUCUCCUGAGGGAGUUGUACUCUCCGUUAUUGGGCAGUGUUUGCCUUGUCACUGCCGUGGAAUAUUUCCUGAGGGCUGGCAUUGUUGGUCAAUCUUUUUUGAGGCAGUGUGGCUUUUCUGGAGUGUUGAUGGGGCUAACAGUGUUUCUUUGAAGCAAAGGAGGGCUUCCUGAGGGCAGGCAGGACUGGGAGGUCUACACCGUGAUGGUAGCAGAUUUCACUUUGCCAUGCAGAGCUUGCUCUGGUGUUUUUAGGCUGUGGGGUUCUUGCAGGGGGUUGGCGGUGUUGGGCAGCUGUUCCUCAGGAGUGCAUCACCUCCUGGGGGCUGGAGCAGCUAUCUGGGUCACUGAGAACCUAAGAGGCUCUUCCCUAGGGCAGCCCAACUCAGAAGGACGGCCUGAGAAUGUAGGCGGAUCUUUUCACAGUCUGGCCGAGCUUGUUGCAGCUUUUCUGGGCUGCAGGGGCUCUUCCAGGGAGCUGGUGGUGCUGAGCAGCUAUUCCCUGGGAGUGGUGCACCCCCUGGGGGCUUGGGCGGGUAGCAGGGCCACUGGAAACUCAAGAGGCUCCUCCCCAGGGCAGCCCAACUCAGAAAAACCGUCCGAGAAUUAGGCCGAUCUAUUCACGCCCUGGCUAAGCUUGUUCUAGCUUUUCUGGGCUGCAGGCCUUUUCUCGGGGGCUGGUGGUGUUUGGUGCUGCUCUGCGGAAGUGUAGCCCCUCCAAAGGGCAAGCAGGCCUGUGCAGGGACAGCCCCUGCGGUGGUAGACUUCAGGCAAUUGUUGAGGCCAGCCCUCCUGGAUGGCAGGCAGCCCCAGGUCCGGUGAGAGCGUAGGGGGUGGUGGGGGUGGGGGGAGGGGAUGCACUGGGAAGCACAGCUUUCAGCUAGCUAGCGGGCCUGUAAGCUUGCUGUGGUGUGGGGGGUAUUCUAUGGGGACCUACCCCUUCUUCUCUCCCCUCCCCAGCACGGGCACAGACCAGGCUCUUCUCCCAGGUUCCCUCUGAUGCGGCUUUCCACUUCCCCGCCCCUAGAGUAUUGCUCCCUUCCUCUGCGACAGCUUUGUUUUCUAGUCUCCCAGGCAGUCUCUGCCCCAUCAAAUGGUUUCUAGACCUCCCAAGCAGUUUCCGCUCCGCCCCGCCUCCCCAGCCCGGGGACUAACCUCUGGAGCCGAGGUCUCAGUGCCCAGCCCCCACCUCAUUUCCUUUCCAUCAGCUCUGCAAAAUGCUUUUCUGUUUUCAUUGUCCUCUAAUCACCCUUCCUCCACAGCACUUCUCUAGCAAGAUUUCCAGUGACAUGCCAAUGCCAGGGUGGCAAGAAUAUUCCUUCCAGAUGCAGGCACUAAAGUGGGCAAGUCUACUAAGAUUAAAAAAAUAAAACUGACUCAAAGUCAGUCUACUUUUUAAUACCCCUAUGAGUCACUGAGUCUAAACAAUGUCAGUGACAAACUACUCCUCCCACCAAAAGAAAAAUCUUUACUCAGUGUUUUAAACAAUUGCUGUGAUUACAGUUGGCUUUCAGUAUUACAUACAUGAGAUUUAAUUGAGCACAUGAUUAAUAGCAUAUCCUUUUACAAAUAUUUUUACAUGGAAAUUAAUUCACUGAAUUCCCAGUGAUACAAUCAACACUCCAAACGUGUUCAUCAGGUGGGUAAAUUUGUAACGAUUCAAUACUGUUCAAGCUCACUUCAGGAGCAAUUUCCACGCCCACUGCCUAUAGUACUACACAUACCCACAUUUAAAUACAAGCAGUCCUUGCUUUGCAUGAUACUGUGGGACUAAAAAUGACCAUGCCAACAGAAGCCAGGCAAAACAAUCUUCACAAUCAAUGGGGAAAAGUACAAUUCUUCUGUGACUUCUAAACUUUUUGGUUGAAACAUUAUAAAAACUACUACUGUAGAUAAGUAGAGAAAUGAAAGAAAUAAUAAAAUUGCUCCUUAUUUAGUACAUUAUAACUUAAGACACAAGAAACAGCAUGAAUUAAAGGUGUUUUGUUUCUUCGUUAAGCAGUUUGAAUGGCACUUGCCUUUUUGUCCUAGGUCUUAUGAUCUGGAAUGAGCGUUUUUGUCUAUGCCUUGACAAAUUGUUAAACUUAUUCCUAGGUUUAAAUAAGCUUUCAACAUUUUUUUCCUAUGCUUUUUCAAUGUUGUGAUCUCUAAGAAUUUAAUCUUUAUAUUUUUCAUCACAGCCACUUACCUCAUAACAUCAGUAAAUUCACCUCCACUGAGGUCCUCCAGCUGCAUUUCUAGAGUCUCAAACAAUGCUGUGUCAACAUUAACAAGGUCAGUUAUUUCUCCUAUAAACUUCGUUCCUGUUAUAUUUGGAUUUCACUUCCAGCAUUAUCACUUUCAUUUUUUUUGCUACAUUCAUCACUGUUGGUCGAUUUCCUCUUUCGACCAUCCACUUCUGUAAAAUGUCAUGUGGAUAAUCACUGGGCAAUAAGUACUCAACUAUACACUUCACUGUGCAUGAACCAAGAGAUUCACAGGGACCAACACCCAGACUUUUAUAGAAGUGUUGGGAUUGGUCACUGACCAUGACCCACAUCUGUUAUUUAUGCUGUGAUAGGUGGGCUGAAGAGUCAGCCAUAUAAGUUUGCACCUCACACAAUUCCUUACAGUUAAUAAACUAAACUAGCAAUUGAAAUUUGAGCCCUGUUGUUGAGGGGCCAAUGUUAUUUUACUAAGCUAUGGUAACUGAAAUUUGUGUCCAUGGGAACCAUGCAAAGCAAGGCCUGCCUAUAGUAGAUUCUCCAUGAUGAUAGUAUGGGGAUUAUGAAGACGGAUAAACAGAACUUGUGUUACCUCAACUUUGUCAUUCUGUGUGACCAGUUGAUGUUUAGAUUUGUAUGUAAUACUUUAGUAUAAAUAGUGCAAAAAAAAGCAAUGUUUAGUAAGUGUAAAUUUUAGUUCAUACAUGAUUUUAUAAAAUACUUAAUAUGUAACAAAUAUUUGAAUGUUUAAAAGUGAAAUUUAUUCUUUUUAGAUUUUUAACUUUUAAAAUACAAAGAAUAAAAAAAUUAUUACUGAAAACAGCUGUCAUAUAAACAAGGAAUGUGUUUAAAAAAUGAUACAUUCUGUGUCAAAUAUACUAGGCAUGAAGUUGGAAUUUUCCAAAAGGUGGAUCUGAUCUUAUAUUUCCUCUGAUCAAAAUUUUUUGGAGGCAGGAUCAAGAUGGCAGAGGAGUAAGAUGCGAUGUUCAUCUUCUCCCACAAACAUGACAACAACAACCCCAUUUACAUGUACAAUAGUCCACACAGAACAUUUACUGAAUGCUGGCAGAAGACCUCAGACCCCCCAAAAAUGACAAAAAAAAAAAAUCCACAUAACUAGGUAGAACAAAAGGAAAACAAAAAGAGACAGAACAGAAAAAAAGGAAUCAGGAUGGGACCAGCACUCCUGGGAGGGAGCUGUGAGAGAGGAAAGGAAU
rnacentral:lncRNA from 1 species